rnacentral:sRNA from 1 species
UGAACUUGUUCAUCCUCCUGCAUCUCCCCUUCGCAACCUUCCUCCUCAUCCUCUUUCGUGUAGCCUCUCCGUGAACUUUCAGCUCUGCAUCUCCGUUCCAGUGCUUCGAUCUGCCCAAUACUGCAUCUGCAACCAAAGAUCCGCCUCUGUUUAUAUGCUUUCACUCCCCCUAUUGAGCAGUACUGCAUUAAGAGAAUUUUUGUUAGCUUCUAGUGAAACAAUAUGUCAGGGUUUUCAGAGAAGCGAAAGCCAAGUUACCAUCUUAGCUUGAGGCCAUAGGUCUCUCAUAUGAUCAGGUGCUGAAAAUUACAAUGAAGUUAGUCAAAGAUACUGAUAUGACGGGUAUUUGAUGUACCUGGAUGACUCUCACAAGGCAGAUUUCAUUAAAAUGUUUAUGGAUGGCAACUAAGCAUUAGGGGGUUUAGUAUGAUAUGAACUUUAGUAAUCUUUUAUUUAUUUUUCCCUAAAGUUAGGACGAAUGUUUAAUUUGGGAUUUCAUGCUUAAGUUCUGGAUAUUUCAUGUUUAAGUU